rnacentral:rRNA from 1 species
UGGGGAAUUUUGGACAAUGGGGGAAACCCUGAUCCAGCCAUCCCGCGUGUGCGAUGAAGGCCUUCGGGUUGUAAAGCACUUUUGGCAGGAAAGAAACGUCGCGGGUUAAUACCCCGCGAAACUGACGGUACCUGCAGAAUAAGCACCGGCUAACUACGUGCCAGCAGCCGCGGUAAUACGUAGGGUGCAAGCGUUAAUCGGAAUUACUGGGCGUAAAGCGUGCGCAGGCGGUUCGGAAAGAAAGAUGUGAAAUCCCAGAGCUUAACUUUGGAACUGCAUUUUUAACUACCGGGCUAGAGUGUGUCAGAGGGAGGUGGAAUUCCGCGUGUAGCAGUGAAAUGCGUAGAUAUGCGGAGGAACACCGAUGGCGAAGGCAGCCUCCUGGGAUAACACUGACGCUCAUGCACGAAAGCGUGGGGAGCAAACAGGAUUAGAUACCCUGGUAGUCCACGCCCUAAACGAUGUCAACUAGCUGUUGGGGCCUUCGGGCCUUGGUAGCGCAGCUAACGCGUGAAGUUGACCGCCCUGGGGGAGUACGGUCGCAAGAUUAAAAACUCAAAUGAAUUGACGGGGGUCAUAGCUG